UGUUCGCAUUAGGUUUGAAAGUAACGUUACAAUCUAGCAUCGUUAGCUUUUUAUAGCUAGUCUGUAACGUUAUGCCCACGUUGUUCUAAUUUACAGCUUUUUAAUCAUUUAAACUUCAUUUUUGGUCAACAUUUCCCUUUGAAAUCUCUGACUCGUGUGAGUCAUUUAGUUCAGUAACUUACGCAUCUUGAUAUUAGUUUAAGGUUGACACGAGAGAGCGUCGUGUCAAAAGCAAACAUCCAGCAAUUUUUUUAUUUUAAAUACCGCUAAUGUUCGGUGAGGGAACUUAGUUUUAAUAGUCUUUUAGACGAGAAUGUAGUUGUUAAGAACACAAAUACGUGAUUUAUAUAUAAACAUAACGCCUCUUUGAGAAUUUGUUAAGACGCUGUCGGAGGUGUGAGCAUCAGGCUGUCGUGGCUCCGCUGAGAGCAGCUCUAUCUCGGCCAUUGCCUCGGGAGUAGCCGCUCUUAUAACGUUAGUGGUUAACCGUGAGAUAUAAUUUAUUUUGGGUAUAUGAGACGAACAAUUGUUGCUCUUUUUAGACUUCUACUUAUUCCCGAGUGUGUCGAAUUAGUUAAGAGUUGUGUUAACGUUUAUAAUAUUAUUUUUUAAGACUGUAUUUCACUUUCUGUACUAUAUCCCACUCUUCUUUUUCCCCCACACUGACAGGAUGCAGAAUAACAGCUAAUAUUAAUGGAUCAUUCUAUUCAAGAGAAAGUCAACUGGAACGUGGAUGUUUUCAUAACAGGCUUAAAGAUGAACAAAUUGAUAAAGAAACCCUCCUGCUGAACAUCCACUUCCAAAAGUGCACGCCACACUGUUGUCUACAACUACUAGGAAAAGAAUCCUCUUUAGUAAGACUGCUCCGUGGAUAUGUCAGGUUAAGCAGUGCUGAAACCGAAAGAACUAACGCUCUUUAAAAUGUUUUGUGAGUUUAUAUGAAGAGGAAAGUUACGGUGUCCCUUUUUCACAUCCAUAACGCUUGUUUAUUUCUUUUUUUAUAGAAAACUUGUGCAUAGACUGAUAUUUUAUCAUAUAAAUGCGGUUCUAUCAACAAGGGUUUAGUAAAAUACUUUUUAUAGUGUUUUUAUGUCGCAUCCAUAACGCUGGAAUUGACCUAAAGCACUUUACUCGUGCCACUUUGUUAACUGUAUAUGAAUUUUUGAAGUGUUAAGUUGUCUAACUAUUUAUAUUUACUUGUGCCACUUUAAUAACCUUGUUAAAUGUAUAUGUUAAAAUCUAAACUAAUGUAAUUUAUUGAAGUUAAUUUUCCUUAAAUAUGUAUAAACAUACAUUUCAUCAAAGUGUUUUAUAUGCCAUUUUAUUGUUCAUUGAGCAUAACAUAUUGCAUGUUUUUAUGAAUUCCUUUUGUCUUGCAUUUUGAUCCUUAAUAAAACUUUUGAUUCUUACUGAUGCCUCGAGUAUUUCUCUGUGAUUUUGUUAUUAUUAUUUUUAAACAUUUCGGGUUUGUUUUAAACCAGCAAUGUAAUUUUUAAGCAAAAGUUGAUUUAAAUAAAACAACCCAGCAUGUUGGGUCAAAGAUAUAACCCAACUGGCUGGGUUAAAAUAACCCAACGCUGGGUUUGUCCAUAUUUGACCCAACGUUGGGUUACCAAAAUAACCCAAAUUGGGUUGUUUUAACCCAGCCUUUUUUUAGAGUGUAGCUAGUCUGUAACGUUAUGCCCACGUUGUUUCUAAUUUACAGCUUUUUAAUCAUUUAAACUUCCUUUUUGGUGAACAUUUCCUCUGAAAUGUGUGACUUGUGUGAGGAAUUUAGUUCAGUAAUUUACGCAACUUGAUAUUAGUUUAAGGUCGACACGAGAGCGUCGUGUCAAAAGCAAACAUCCAGCUCAUUUUUUUUUAUAAAUACCGCUAAUGUUCGGUGACGGAACUUAGAUUUAAGAGUCUUUUAGACGAGAAUGUUGUUGUUAAGAACUCAAAUACGUGAUUUAUAUAUAAACAUAACGCCUCUUUGAGAUUUUGUUAAGACGCUGUCGGAGGUGUGAGCUUCAGGAUGUCAGCGGUCGUGUCUCCGUGGAGAGCAGCUCUGUCUCGGCCAUUGCUUCGGGAAUAGCCGCUGGCUCUUAUAACGUUAAUGGUUAACAAUGCGAUAUAGUUAAUUUUGGGUAUAUGAGACGAACAAUUGUUGCUCUUUUUAGACUUAUACUUAUUCCCUAGUGUGUCGAAUUAGUGAAGGGUUGUUUUAACGUUUAUAAUAUUAUUUUUUAAGACUGUAUUUCGCUUUCUGUACUAGAGCCCACUCUUCUUUUUUCCCCCACUGACAGGUUGCAGAAUAACAGCUAAUAUUAAUGGAUCAUUCUAUUCAAGAGAAUGUCAACUGGAACUUGGGUGUUUUCAUAACAGGCUUAAAGAUGAACAAAUUGAUAAAGAAACCCUCCUGCUGGACAUCCACUUCCAAAAGUGCACACCACACUGUUGUCUACAACUCCCAGGAAAAGAAUCCUCUCUAGUAAGACUGCUCCAUGGAUAUUUUAGGUUAAGCAGUGCUGAAACCGAAAGAACUAACACUAUUUAAAAUGUUUUGUGAGUUUAUAUGAAGAGGAAAGUUACGGUGUCCCUUUUUCACAUCCAUAACGCUUGUUUAUUUCUUUUUUUAUAGAAAACUUGUGCAUAGACUUAUAUUUUAUCAUAUAAAUGAGGUUCUAUCAACAAGGGUUUAGUAAAAUACUUUUUAUAGUGUUUUGAAGUGUUAAGUUGUCUAACUAUUUAUAUUUACUUGUGCCACUUUAAUAACCUUUUUAAAUGUAUGUUAAAAUCUAAACUAAUGUAAUUUAUUGAAGUUAAUUUUCUUUAAAUAUGUAUAAACAUACAUUUCAUCAAAGUGUUUUAUAUGCCAUUUUAUUGUUCAUUGAGCAUAACAUAUUGCAUGUUUUUAUGAAUUCCUUUUGUCUUGCAUUUUGAUCCUUAAUAAAACUAUUGAUUCUUACUGAUGCCUCGAGUAUUUCUCUGAUUUUGUUAUUAUUUUUAAACAUUUCGGGUUUGUUUUAAACCAUCAAUGUAAUUUUUAAGCAAAAGUUGAUUUAAAUAAAACAACCCAGCAUGUUGGGUCAAAGAUUUAACCCAACUGGCUGGGUUAAAAUAACCCAACGCUGGGUUUGUCCAUAUUUGACCCAAUGUUGGGUUACCAAAA